CUGUCCUCAUAUUGCACAGUGGCAGAGAACUUGGCAACUUUCCGUUAUGACAGAUAAAUGUGAAAUACCCACAAGCGCCGUUGCUUGGAGUAAAAGUUGGAAUAUGAAGAAUUUAAGUAAGCUGCAAGUUUAAGACUUUAAGCUGUGCUUGUAAACUAUUACUUAUGUUAAUAACAGUGAUAUCGAUAUACUGCCAACUAUCAACAUCUCUGAGAAGGCUUCUCUUUAUUCUGUAGGAGAAACAGUAAUGCAACGAACCAAAGCGAAAACGAAACUGAAACUGAGACUGGAAUGCAACAAGCUGAAAAUGGUGGGAAAGGUGGGAAAAGAGGCGGGAAGUGGCUCAGUUUAGCUGUGAAAGUUGCGGCCUGUGAAAGUGAAAAUGGAAAUGCUUCGCAGUCGACGUCGGCGUCGCUGCUGACGUCGCUGUUUGCCGGCUAACAUGAAAACCCACUGACAUCAAUUUUGGCAAGGGGGAGUGUUGGAAAUGGGGUGAAAAUGUGAGAGCGACGAGAGGCAAGCUAAAUUUGCAUAUCAAAUAUAACUGGAUAAAAAAGUAAUUUAACAGCUGCUGCGAUAACUGAAGUCUGGCUUUGCUUUU